rnacentral:lncRNA from 1 species
AUGGGGCAGACCAGCCAGGUCCAGCCAGGCCAGCAUCUCAAGAGCAUAGAGCCAGGGAGCAUGCGCAGAACCCCAAGAGCAGGGGCAUGUGGGCACCUUGAUUUCCCAGGGGAAAAAAUAUUACAGGAAGUGUGAACCAACAGCCAAAAGAAGGGACCUGCCUAAAAUCCAGAUGCUGACUGAGAAAGUCUGGGGCGGGGCUGGAAAUUCCAAAAUCAUAACAAGCUCUCAGCCAAAGGAUGCUGGUGGCAUCAGCGAGGAAGGCAAACCCCGUGACCGUAAGAGCUGAACAAGGAGGCGGGAGCCAUCUCUGCUGGCCAGGGUGAUCGGUGCAUUCAGGGCCACAGUUUCCAUUAUCUUCAUGAGCAGUAGCUGGAAUGAAGGAGAAAUGGAAAGUGGGAAUGAAGACAGGAUGCUGAGCUUCAGAUACUUAAAUAAACUCAAGAACAGGAGGACUGAAAGCCAAGAUUUCAACUGCAAGAGCCGGGCCAUUAAGAGAGGAAAGGGUUUCCUAAAUUCGCAUACAUUUCUUUUAAAUACAAUAAUCUUAGAGGACAAGCAUGGGGUUUUCACCACACACCAUAGUGUAGAGAAGGAUUCACAAAUGACCCAAGAGCAGUUCCCUGUCCCCCAGCAAGGUGAACAGCCCUUCUUGGGCUGGGAUGUGGGGGGCAGAGAUGAGAGACAUUUUCAGUUAAUGAGAUUAUUAGAUUAAGACACUAUACCUAGAGUGCAGGAGAGAUUAUGGACAUUUCAGAUGGUCCAAAGAAGAAUCUGAAAGCUUGUGCUCCACUUUCUGUUUAGAAUUCCAGGCAGAGACUGCCUUGCAAGGUGAUCUACACCCAUGCUGGGGGGCUUCAGUAGAGGAGAAAUGAUGGUGUGAAACGUUUAGAUAUGGAGGGAAUCUGAGAUGCCAUAGAGGAGGUUCCCUGGGUUUCUGUGUGGCUUGGGUGAGAUCUAGAACUUUCUGUGUGGGAUGGGAGUGGGGAGCAGUAGUACUAAAAGGGUCGCGGGAGAGGAAGAGGUUGGUGCCUGGUAGGAGACAAACCCCUGCAGCUGGAGGCCAAGAGAGGAUCACGGUGGGCAGAGCACAUGGCCCAGGGGUGGAGCCGACCUCCAGACACCAGAAGAACAACCUAAGUUCCUCCCACACAGUCAGACUUGAAACUAGAGGACAGACAGAGAACCAGGAAUGUCUACUUUGCCCCCAUGAGGAAUAGAAACAACUUCCUGACUAUCCCUUGGUGGGACAGGAGGACUUUCAAGAGGAUGAAACUCUGAAAAAGAGUUUACCCUGUGAUUAAUUAAAUGAAAUCCUCAAUGGCCAGAGUAAUUAUACAAAGAUUAAGUGUCAAAUGGGAGAGAGUUUACCUGGAAGCAGUAAGAUUCGUUGCUUUUAUUGGUUCAUUUGUUUUGUUUUCUGCUUUCGGUAGAAAUGGAUCUUCACGAGUCAGUUGAAUUUGAUUAAACAGAAUUUAGCAUUUCAGCCAUUUGGGUGACAGUGGGUGCAUUCUAAAGUCAGCACACCACCCAAAGUGAUAUAUGAGGUGGAAUGGGAGGGGUGGCAGGUAUUCAGCUUAAAGGACCGGGAUAUCAUGAUCAGUGGCUACUGUUUUACUUUUAAAAACCUUCCUUUUCUGGGUCUAGAAUAUAUAAAGAAUGUCUACAAAUCAACAACAAAAAACAUGAACAGCCUAAUUUUUUAAACAGGCAAAUGAAUUCAGUAGGUAUCUCACAGGACAAAUGAAUGAUCAGUAAGCACUGAAAAGGUGUUCAAUGUCCCCAGUCAUCAGGACAACACAAAUUAAAAUUGCAAUAAGAUAACAUUUCACGUCCACUAAAAUUGCUAAGGUGAAAUACGAUGAACAUUGACAAGUGUGUGGAGACACUGGAACUCUUUAUCAUUGUGGAUGAAGAUGUGUCUAGCAGUUUCUUAUGGCAGUAAAUAAACAUGCUUCUACCCCAUGACCCAGCAGUCAGUUCCACUCUUAGUUAUUAACCCAAAAGAAAUGAAAACAAAUGUCUACACACAGACUUAUACAAGAAUGUUUACAGUAGCCAUACUCAUAAGAGUCAAACACUGCAAACAAUCCCAAGGCAUGUCAACAGAAAGGAUCAACAAAAUGCAGCAUCUCCGUUUAAUGGAACAUCACUCAGCAAUACAAUGAACCAUCUUAUUUUUUAUCUUUUGAGAUGGAGUCUCACUCUGUCCCCCAGGCUGGAGUGCAAUGGCACGAUCUUGGCUCACUGCAACCUCCCUCUCCUGGGUUCAAGCGAUUCGCCUGCCUCAGCCUCUCGAGUAGUUGGGACUAUAGAUGCAUGCCACCACACCUGGCUAAUUUUUGUAUUUUCAUUAGAGACGGGGUUUCACCGUGUUGGCCAGGCUAGUCUCGAACUCCUGACCUCAAGUGAUCCUCUCCUCUCAGCCUCCCAAAGUGCUGGGAUUGCAGGCAUGAACCACCAGGCCUCGUCAACAAUCCAUCUUCUGUUAGACCCACAACAAGGAUGAACCUCAAAAAAAAUUGUGCUGAGUGAAAUAAGCCAGACACAAAAAAAGUAUAUACAGUAUGAUUUCAUUUAUAUGAAUCUCUAGAACAAACACAAUUGAUCUAUGUUGGUACAAGUCAAAAGGUGGCCAGGAACAUGAGGGAACUUUCUGGGCUGAUGGUUAUGUUCUAUAUCUUGUGUUUGAUGGUGAUUACAUAAGCAUAUGCAAUUGUCAAACCUGAACACUGAAGAGAUGUGCAUUUUAUUCUACAUAAAUUAUACCUUAAAUUUAAAAAAAAAAUUGAAGAAACCCCUCUUCUUAAAGUUUUGGCUCAAGUUCUUAUGAAGAUUAGGCUGGCAAGCACACAAGCCCCAGAAGGCUCUUUAUCUUUAGUGGGGGCACCCUCCCUCUGUCCCUUCGUCUGUUCCAAGUGCCUACACGCCCUCUUACACACACACUGCACACUUGGGGAAUGUGAGCGUGCGAGCGUGCACAUGUAUAGACACUGCUUCAUCCCCAGGGGCAGC